rnacentral:tRNA from 1 species
GGGCCUGUAGCUCAGCUGGUUAGAGCGCGCCCCUGAUAAGGGCGAGGUCGGUGGUUCGAAUCCACUCAGGCCCACCA